AACGAACGCUGGCGGCAUGCCUAACACAUGCAAGUCGAACGAGAUCUUCGGGUCUAGUGGCGCACGGGUGCGUAACGCGUGGGAAUCUGCCCUUUGGUUCGGAAUAACAGUUGGAAACGACUGCUAAUACCGGAUGAUGACGAAAGUCCAAAGAUUUAUCGCCAGAGGAUGAGCCCGCGUAGGAUUAGCUAGUUGGUGUGGUAAAGGCGCACCAAGGCGACGAUCCUUAGCUGGUCUGAGAGGAUGAUCAGCCACACUGGGACUGAGACACGGCCCAGACUCCUACGGGAGGCAGCAGUGGGGAAUAUUGGACAAUGGGCGAAAGCCUGAUCCAGCAAUGCCGCGUGUGUGAUGAAGGCCUUAGGGUUGUAAAGCUCUUUUACCCGGGAUGAUGAUGACAGUACCGGGAGAAUAAGCUCCGGCUAACUCCGUGCCAGCCGCCGCAGUAA
rnacentral:rRNA from 1 species